rnacentral:tRNA from 1 species
GGCGAGUACAGCUUAGUGCUAGAGUGCGUGCUUAGCAUGCAGGAGGUCCUGAGUUCAAUCCCCAGUACUGCCA